GAUGAACGCUGGCGGCGUGCCUAAUACAUGCAAGUCGAGCGAACAGAUAAGGAGCUUGCUCCUUUGACGUUAGCGGCGGACGGGUGAGUAACACGUGGAUAACCUACCUAUAAGACUGGGAUAACUUCGGGAAACCGGAGCUAAUACCGGAUAACAUAUUGAACCGCAUGGUUCAAUAGUGAAAGGCGGCUUUGCUGUCACUUAUAGAUGGAUCCGCGCCGUAUUAGCUAGUUGGUAAGGUAACGGCUUACCAAGGCAACGAUACGUAGCCGACCUGAGAGGGUGAUCGGCCACACUGGAACUGAGACACGGUCCAGACUCCUACGGGAGGCAGCAGUAGGGAAUCUUCCGCAAAGGGCGAAAGCCUGACGGAGCAACGCCGCGUGAGUGAUGAAGGUCUUCGGAUCGUAUAACUCUGUUAUCAGGGAAGAACAAAUGUGUAAGUAACUGUGCACAUCUUGACGGUACCUGAUCAGAAAGCCACGGCUAACUACGUG
rnacentral:rRNA from 1 species